CAGGUCUUGACAUCCUCUGACAACUCUAGAGAUAGAGCGUUCCCCUUCGGGGGACAGAGUGACAGGUGGUGCAUGGUUGUCGUCAGCUCGUGUCGUGAGAUGUUGGGUUAAGUCCCGCAACGAGCGCAACCCUUGAUCUUAGUUGCCAGCAUUCAGUUGGGCACUCUAAGGUGACUGCCGGUGACAAACCGGAGGAAGGUGGGGAUGACGUCAAAUCAUCAUGCCCCUUAUGACCUGGGCUACACACGUGCUACAAUGGACGGUACAAAGAGUCGCGAGACCGCGAGGUGGAGCUAAUCUCAUAAAACCGUUCUCAGUUCGGAUUGUAGGCUGCAACUCGCCUACAUGAAGCCGGAAUCGCUAGUAAUCGCGGAUCAGCAUGCCGCGGUGAAUACGUUCCC
rnacentral:rRNA from 1 species